GGCUACAGCACAAUGUAUGUAUCCAAUAUAUCCAAUAUAUUGAGGUCUGAUCUCUAAAGCUAAUCCAAGUGGGUUUAGGUUAGUACUUGAAUAGGAGACUCUUUGGGAAUAUUAGGUGUUGUAGGUU
rnacentral:rRNA from 1 species